GUGGGGAAAACAGCAUAGGCUCAGGUCCAUGGCAUCCAACUCAAAGAACUUACCAGAAGCAUAUCACUCCUCAACUCUCCAUGCAGGCAUUGCAAUGAGGUUUCAGAGUGCUGUUUGCAGCCAUAUUUUUGAGUAUCACUGAGUAGGAGUAAGGCUUCAAAAAUUAGGCACUAAACUUUCUUUAAAAUGAAACUACCCAGAAAAGCACAUUUGAGGCAACAGCCAAAGUUAUUGGCAUACACAAUAGGCAGACACAGUAAUUUUGUGGCCCUUCAAAAUUAUAGCUACUAUAGAUAUAUACAGUUUUAUUCUCAAAUCUUCAACAAUAUCCAGGAUUGCAUCAAAAGAGGUGUGGCCAGCAGGGAGAGGGAGGGGACUGUCUCCCUCUACUCUGCCGUUAUGAGGCCCCGUCUGUAGUACAGUGUAAGACCUGGGAUCCCCUGUACAAGAGGGAUGAGGAGGCAUUGGAAUUGGUCCAGAGAAGGGCACAAAGAUGAUGAGAGGGCUGGAGUACCUCUCUAGUGAAGAAAGGUUGAGGGAACUGGGCUUGCUCAGCGUGGAGAAGAGAAGGCUACAGGGAGACCUCAUCGCGACCAUUCGGUACUUGAGGGAGCUUAUAAGCAGAAUGGUGAUUGACAUUUUCUGUGGUCUAAUUAGUGAUGGGACAAGAGGGAAUAUCUUAAAACUAAAAGAAGGGAGAUGUAGGUCAGAUGUUAGGCAGAAACUCUUUACUCAGAGGGUGGUGAGGCUCUAGCACAGUCUGUGUUUUGUGAUUCUAUAAAUGUCACCUUCAAUGGAGGCAACUGAAAAAACAAGUAUUUUCUCAGAGAAAAAGUAUGUUUCCCUCUAUUUUUUGAUACACAGUGAGCCCUUAAAGCAGAAGGACUGAAUGACAUCCCCUAACUGAAGCAUGCUCAGAGGUAGGGGAGCAAGCACAGGCAGCCUGUUCUGGAAUUUCUUCUUACAGAAAGUUGUCCCAGUUGAGUUUUUAUAGCUGUUAAACUCAGUAGAACUCUGGGGCUGAAGUACAACAAUACCAAAAUACGAACAUAAAAUACAUAUGCAUUGCAGUUUCAUUCUUCAGUGGGGAUAGAUAAAAAGGAGUACAGGGAGGCUUCUGAUAACUCUGAGAUAUAAAUUUUAGCACUUGCAACACAGUGGCCAACGAAGAGUGCAGCAACAGCCUGGAGGGGUAAGAUCUGGCCUGCAAUAUAUCACUAUUGACACUGCAUGUGUUGAUCCUUCUUUUUCUUUUUAAAAUGAAUGGAAGACAAAGACUAAAGUGGCCUGUGAUGUUGUCAUGUGAAUACUGCAAGCAGUGGUUCCUAUAUGAUCCAUUAAAAUUUGUUUUUCUUCUUUUAUGACCUAAAAGAAGAACCAAACAGACUUUAAGAAUAUUUCUUCUUGGACAAAAAAUGGAAUCCUGAAACCUCCUGCAAGUUUAUGCCCAGAUUGUAUUGUAUUUCUUGUACAAGAAGGGGAAAAACACUUUUAAGUCAAACUUUUGAUUCAGUCAUUUCAGCUCCCAAAAUUGCACUCAGGUUCCCUAAACUUCAAGGUGUACAAGACACCCAGAUGAUUCUGAUGGAUAUGACAAAGUCAAUUGGAGAUUUUUCCAGGGGCAGCUGGGACUGGUAGUAAAGAACUUGACAUAAGCCAUAGGUACUUCACCAUACCCUUUUCUGAUCACCAUCGUUCAGGAUUUUCUUCCCAUCAGUGGAAAACAAAUCCUGGAAGGUCCUCUCUGGACUCUAUGAACUGCGAAGGACCCCUGCAGAAAAGGACUUUUAGAAUUUGGUGGGCUGCUGCUGAGCCAGGAGCCGGAGAACAGCAGCCAUUCAAUAGCAUCCUCAGGAUCAUCGGUUCUACUUUCUGAAAGGAAGGAAUUAUGCUUUUCAGAAACAAUGUAUGUCUAUGUCAGUGAUGUUUAUGUGCAGUUUAGACCUUUUGUGGCUUAUUUGUUACACUGAAGAGUGGAAGAAUGUUUUUUGUUUUGUUUUGUUUUUUAAUACAGGGCUAUGUUUGAGGCUUGCUUAAGUAAUAAUGCUAAAUUCAUAUGAAACUCCUGAAGUCUUUGUGUUUCCCACUGUUUUGACAGUACCCACCCACCAAGAGUACUAAUUAGAGGCAAAAUAUAGUGCAGACCAAUCAUUUAUUUUUAUAGCGCACUCCUCAACACACACUUCCUAAUGUCCUUUACUCUCAUUAAAAUCCAAUCAACUAGAAGUAUUCCUUAUUAAGUGGCCCAUGAAGUAAUUUUCUAAUUUUAGAACAAAGGGAUGUGAAGGCUAUUGCCUGUUUAAAAUACAUUCUAACGGCAUACUCAGGAGAAAGAAGAGAUAUAUGCCACCCUCUCAAGAUAUCUAAGGGAGAUCUAGGCAUCUCAAGGGAGUUCUUAUGAAAAGAGCCCCCAAAUAUUGGGACCGACAUUUCAUUGCCUCAGUCCGUGCUACUUCUCCUGCUGUGUUUUCACUGUAUUUUUGAUUACAGCUUUGAAAGAGGAAAGCGCAAACAAAAAGACCAAAACAGCAAAAAGGAGAAGUAUAUUAAAAAAAAGAAAAAAAGAAAGGAAAAAAAAAAAGUACAAGGAAACAAGAGAAAAGAAAUGAGUAUUUGUUCAUACCAGGUGCAGAGACAAAGUAAUAUUUUCAGCUCCUGUCAAAAAACACUUUUUGCCACAAAAGAAAGGAAGGGUGGGAACACACAUCUGAGGGAGCAUGUUGAGAUGUUACGUUUCCAGUAUCUUCAGUGUUUAGAAGCUUUGUUAUUUUACUAACUUUUGUAAGAAAGUGAGAUUCUACAUCAGUAAAGUGAAAUACAGGUAUUAUUUACACAUUCUGUCAAGAGAGUUAGAAAUAUUCUACUUCAUCUGCAGAAGCAUCAGACUCAACAAAAGGUUUUGUCUUGCUGGAAAGCUGUAGUAAACGCCAUAUGAGGAAGACCAGUUUGUUAUCACCUGAGGCAACAAUAGAAUCUAAAGGGAAACUGAGUGAAAAAAAGAACCCCAGCAUUGUUGUCACAGCCAAUAGUGUUAACAUUUCAAGCUGUAUGCUGGCAUCUGAACUGAGAUGCAACUUGGAUGCUGAGUAGCACCAAAUACUCAAGAGUCUGCUGCGGCUGCUGUGAGCAGGCAUCAAGAAAAGGGGCUGCUUUUUGUCAACUCAGUCUUUUUUGUUCUUAUGAGACCACUCAAGUGAAAUUAUUGGAGCUUUUUUUUUUUUUUUUUUUUUUUUUUUUUUUUUUUUUUUUUUCCCACAAGCAGUUUACACAUUUUGGAACCUUUAGCCCAAGUUUAAAAGAUAUAGUCUUGGCUUUACUUACCAGGUUACUUCAGACUCUCUCAGCAGACCAAUCCUCACUAAUCUGGUCAUCUCAUCUCUGGAAGAGGAAGUCUAGAGAUGUCUUAUAGGGGCGUCCUGGGCACAGUCCAGCUGCACACAGGAGUAUGAGUGAAAAUGGAUGUAAAGGCCUUGUCUGCACCGAAUAAGUAGUGUAUGGAGAGCUGGGUCCAAAUCUGGGCUCCUCAGUUCAAGAGGGACACCAACAUGCUGGAGAGAGUUCAACAUGUGGCCACAAAGAUGAAGGGACUGUAGCAUCUGGACAUGAGGACAGGCUGAGACUAUCUAGACUGGAGAGAGAAGCCUCGUGUACAAGUAUAUGAUGAGGUUUUCCUCCACAAAAAUGAAGAGGAGAGGAGAGGAGAGGAGAGGAGAGGAGAGGAGAGGAGA
ensembl:lncRNA